UGACUUAUGUUGACCGAACCGAACCAUUGACCAGUUUGACUUGUCUUGACCGAGCCCGAACCUGUACCUGCUGAACCAUACCCAACUCGUAGCCUGAACCGAGACCAAAACCGAACCGUGAGUUGACCGAAACUGAGGUUUGUCUCGGUUGUUUUCCUGACCCGAACCGGCUGAAAAUGAACCCCAAGCAGAGUCGAAGUCUGAACCAAUAGAAAAAUCUUGAAUCCGAACACGAAUCCGGAGCCCUAUACCCAAACCCGAGCUGUGAACAACCACCAUAAUUUGUCAUCGUCCUCUUCAUAGCUCCGGCGACUGCCGCCGCCGUCAGUCACCCCCACCGUCGCCGUCGACCACCCAACAGCCACCAUCCCUCGAAGUCCUCGAACCACGGCUGCCAGUGACCAGAACCAUCACCUCCACUGCUCCGAUUGAGGAACUAGUGCUGGAUUCAUACUCGGGAGGUGCUUUUUAGGGGGGUACGCGCGCCGUCACACGCCAAAAAGAGGUCACCGGAGCACCGUCGCGGCUCCGCCGUGCACCGGCCGGCUCCGCUGGUUUGUGUGUCGCCAGAAAAGAGAGAAAAAGAGAGGGAGUUGUUGUGUUUACUGAGUUUAUUUUGAGAAAAAAUGAAGGUAACAAGGAUGUAA
rnacentral:lncRNA from 1 species